rnacentral:rRNA from 1 species
UAUGUUUGAWUCCUGGCUCAGRGCGAACGCUGGCGGCAGGCUUAACACAUGCAAGUCGAGCGGGCAUAGCAAUAUGUCAGCGGCAGACGGGUGAGUAACGCGUGGGAACGUACCUUUUGGUUCGGAACAACUGAGGGAAACUUCAGCUAAUACCGGAUAAGCCCUUACGGGGAAAGAUUUAUCGCCGAAAGAUCGGCCCGCGUCUGAUUAGCUAGUUGGUGAGGUAAUGGCUCACCAAGGCGACGAUCAGUAGCUGGUCUGAGAGGAUGAUCAGCCACAUUGGGACUGAGACACGGCCCAAACUCCUACGGGAGGCAGCAGUGGGGAAUAUUGGACAAUGGGCGCAAGCCUGAUCCAGCCAUGCCGCGUGRGUGAUGAAGGCCCUAGGGUUGUAAAGCUCUUUUGUGCGGGAAGAUAAUGACGGUACCGCAAU